GCGGGGUUAAAACGCUCGUAGUUGGAUAUCUGUGAGCGGGUUCCGGUCCUUCCCAGUGAAGAUUACACGGAACUCUGCUCGCAUUUGUUCAGGGAGGGUGGAUGCACUUCACUGUGUGACCACAUGAUCUGAAUUUUUACUUUGAGGAAAUGAGAGUGUUCCAAGCAGGCAAUUGCCGUGAAUAUGAUAGCAUGGAAUAAUAGCACAGGACUCUUGGUUCAAUGCUGUUGGUUUGUUGAACUAGAGUAAUCACAAUAAGGAUAGUUGGGGGUAUUCGUAUUUAACUGUCAGAGGUGAAAUUCUUGGAUUUUUAAAGACGAACAAUUGCGAAGGCAUCUACCCAGGAUGUUUUUGUUGAUCAAGAACGAAAGUUAGGGGAUCGAAGACGAUCAGAUACCGUCCUAGUCUUAACCUUAAACUAUGCCGGCUGGAGAUUGGAGUCGUCAGAUUUGUGACGUCUUCAGCAUCCUAUGAGAAAUCUAAGUCUUUGGGUUCCGGGGGGAGUAUGGUCGCAAGGCUGAAACUUAAAGGA
rnacentral:rRNA from 1 species